ACUCAAAGGAAUAGACGGGGACCCGCACAAGCGGUGGAUGAUGUGGAUUAAUUCGAUGCAACGCGAAAAACCUUACCUACCCUUGACAUGUCAGGAAGAUUCCAGAGAUGGGAUUGUGCCCGAAAGGGAGCCUGAACACAGGUGCUGCAUGGCUGUCGUCAGCUCGUGUCGUGAGAUGUUGGGUUAAGUCCCGCAACGAGCGCAACCCUUGUCAUUAAUUGCCAUCAUUAAGUUGGGCACUUUAAUGAGACUGCCGGUGACAAACCGGAGGAAGGUGGGGACGACGUCAAGUCCUCAUGGCCCUUAUGGGUAGGGCUUCACACGUCAUACAAUGGUCAGUUCAGAGGGUUGCCAACCCGCGAGGGGGAGCUAAUCCCAGAAAGCUGAUCGUAGUCCGGAUUGCAGUCUGCAACUCGACUGCAUGAAGUAGGAAUCGCUAGUAAUCGCGGAUCAGCGUGCCGCGGUGAAUACGUUCCCGGGUCUUGUACACACCGCCCGU
rnacentral:rRNA from 1 species